CCGAAAAUAGCUCAGCGGUAGAGCGGGAGACUGUAGUGGCUUGGCCUUGAAGGCUUGCGUUGUAAUCUCUAGGUCCCUGGUUCAAAUCCGGGUUUUCGGA
rnacentral:tRNA from 5 species